rnacentral:rRNA from 1 species
GAUGAACGCUAGCGGGAGGCUUAACACGUGCAAGUCGAGGGGCAGCACGGGGUAGCAAUACUCUGGUGGCGACCGGCGCACGGGUGAGUAACACGUAUGCAACUUACCCUGUACUGGAGGAUAACCCGGAGAAAUUCGGACUAAUACUCCAUGAUGAUAUUGAGGGGCAUCCUUUAAUAUUUAAAGCUCAGGCGGUACGGGAUGGGCAUGCGGAACAUUAGCUAGUUGGCAGGGUAACGGCCUACCAAGGCUACGAUGUUUAGGGGACCUGAGAGGGUGAUCCCCCACACUGGUACUGAGACACGGACCAGACUCCUACGGGAGGCAGCAGUGAGGAAUAUUGGUCAAUGGGCGCAAGCCUGAACCAGCCAUCCCGCGUGCAGGAAGACGGCGCUAUGCGUUGUAAACUGCUUUUCCAGGGGGUGAAACUCUCGUACGAGUACGGGAUUGACGGUACCCUGGGAAUAAGCAUCGGCUAACUCCGUGCCAGCAGCCGCGGUAAUAC